rnacentral:rRNA from 1 species
ACUCCAUGUGUAGUGGUGAAAUGCGUAGAUAUAUGGAAGAACACCAGUGGCGAAGGCGGCUGUCUGGUCUGUAACUGACGCUGAGGCUCGAAAGUAUGGGUAGCAAACAGGAUUAGAUACCCUGGUAGUCCAUACCGUAAACGAUGAAUGCUAAGUGUUGGAGGGUUUCCCCCUUCAGUGCUGCAGCUAACGCAUUAAGCAUUCCGCCUGGGGAGUACGGCCGCAAGGCUGAAACUCAAAGGAAUUGACGGGGGCCCGCACAAGCGGUGGAGCAUGUGGUUUAAUUCGAAGCUACGCGAAGAACCUUAUCAGGUCUUGACAUACUAUGCAAAUCUAAGAGAUUAGACGUUCCCUUCGGGGACAUGGAUACAGGUGGUGCAUGGUUGUCGUCAGCUCGUGUCGUGAGAUGUUGGGUUAAGUCCCGCAACGAGCGCAACCCUUAUUAUCAGUUGCCAGCAUUAAGUUGGGCACUCUGGUGAGACUGCCGGUGACAAACCGGAGGAAGGUGGGGAUGACGUCAAAUCAUCAUGCCCCUUAUGACCUGGGCUACACACGUGCUACAAUGGAUGGUACAACGAGUUGCGAACUCGCGAGAGUAAGCUAAUCUCUUAAAGCCAUUCUCAGUUCGGAUUGUAGGCUGCAACUCGCCUACAUGAAGUCGGAAUCGCUAGUAAUCGCGGAUCAGCAUGCCGCGGUGAAUACGUUCCCGGGCCUUGUACACACCGCCCGUCACACCAUGAGAGUUUGUAACACCCAAAGUCGGUGGGGUAACCUUUAGGAACCAGCCGCCUAAGGUGGGACAGAUGAUUAGGGUGAAGUCGUAACAAGGUAACCA